AGUUACGUGCUGCCCGGGCAGUUUCGCACUCCUGCGCCAUCCAGAAUCAUCUAACAGAACUCCUGUAACUCUAUCCUCCCUCGUCUGUGCUUAGAUGAAUCUGUCAGCGAUGAACAUUAAAUACGCACUUCCGAGGAAAUUAACUUGCUAUGGAUUCGGUAUUUAUAAGUAGCAAUAUUACAUACAUCUAACGAGAGUGAAACCAAUACAAUGAAAUUUAUUGACUUUGUAUCAUUAUAACCCUAGAAGCUCUUCAACUACAGCAUUUGCGUCACAAUUUUUUCUUUAUAGAUUUAAAACACAGAAUAUUGACCUUUUAAUUGGGCUUAAUUGUUUAAUUAUCUAAUUGCAUAAUGUAUCUCAGCUACGUAGCUAGUAGCUAGUGUUUCUCAACGUCUACACGAGAUGGCAGCAUGCAUAUUCCAACUGUCCAUUCUCGGUCGUAAGUUCACGCAAAUUCGCGCUGCCAGCGGAAGACGUUAUCGAUCGUGUGCUAGUUGCUUCAAUAUAUUGAAGGUGCAAAUCUCGUACAACAGUGUUCCAGCAGCAAAACAUUGGAAGGGAUAUACUUCACGGACGAUGCACAUCCAGUUGAAGGCGUUAACCCAAGAGCCUUGCUGUUGGAUGUUCCUGUAGAUUUUUCUGACAGUGCCAGUUGUAGAGCCAUUCUUCACAAGUUAUUACCAGUAAACAUGAAGAAAGAAGCUUCCAUAGCAAGACAGUAUUAAACCAGCUCCUCUUCAAAAUCUUUACCAAAAUUGUGUGUGAACAGCAUUUUCACCCUCAUGAAAUUAUAUCAUCAUCUCAAGAUGUCAGAAGAAAUGGAGACGUUCCUCGCACCCUUGCAAGACCAAGUUUGCUUUCAACAGCAGUUCCUUCUGUUUUUCCGAACUGCCCUCACUAUUUGCGCAAACCUCCAAGCUACAGAAUUGGCCCUGAGGUAAAGAGACAGAAACUUGAAGAGCAAAAUAUUCAGGCAGCUGUUCAGGAUAGCCUGAAGGAAAGGGAAAAAUGUUUAAAAGCUCAGUCCAUUACAUCACUGUGUGAGUUAAAGGCAAAACUGUCAAUGUUAAAGCUGUCUGAUUUCUGGAGUAUCAUUACAAAACCUACAUCUGUAUUGUGUGCAAACAUUCAGACAGUUCCUUCUCUGUGAUAAAAUAUUCUGUUCUUGUUAGUGAAGGCCUUGAUGUAUCAGUAUUUGUCCUGAACAAGCAAAGAAACAAAAUAGGACUAAAAGGGAAGAAGGUUUUAACAAGGGUUUCAAGCAUUCUUAAAUUAGGUUAUCUGUUAGACUGUGUGGAAGCAGCUGACAUGCAAAUUAAUGUUCCAAAUAUUAUUGAACAAAUUUUGAGUUGUGUGUGUGACAUUAUGCAGACACUUAAUUUAUCUGAGUAUGAAAAGAGCAAAAACAUACACUUUAUAAUUGAACAGUUGAAAUUACAAUCAUCAAAGAAAAUUUCAUCCACUUCAUCAUUCAUGAUAUUUUCUUGUUUAUCUUACAGUAUUUCCCCAUGUGCUUUAUAGGUUUAAUAGAGAUUAUUGUUUUUUGUAGGCCCUCAUCCAUCAACAAUUCAAAGUGUGUGUUCUAGUAUUAACAAAGGCCCCCAGAAAGAGCAAUGUGAAAAUAAUUUUUUAUCAUAUACAAGAGGUAAAUUUACAUUUCUUGAACCACGUGAAUAUCAUGUCAACCUUUUAAUAGAUGAGAUACAUCUAAAAGAUUAUUUUGACUGUAAAGGAGGAAGUGUUGUUGGUAUGGUUAAUGGUGAAGGUUUGACAGCAAAGUCAGCAUAUGUUUUCAUGAUCAUCAGUAUACUGAUUAACUUUAAAGAUGUUGUUCAUAUUUUAUCAGUCAAUAAAUUAACAGGUGAUAAUUUGCAUCAAUGGAGCAAAAGAAUUAUAUUGGGUCUUGAAGAUACAGGAUUCAAAGUACUGUCUGUAAUUUUAGAUAAUAAUUCUAUUAAUAGACGGGCAAUGUCAUCAUUUUCAAAUCCCUCUUCAGUCUCUUACGUGUAUAACCAUCCUAAAGAUCAUGUGAGACCACUGUUUUUUGUAAUUGACUCUGUAUUCAUUAUUAAGUGCAUUUGGCAUAACUGGUUAAAGCAAAAAAAAAAAAAAAAAAAAAAAAAAAAAAAAAAAAAAAAAAAAAAAAAAAAAAAAAAUUCCUGUGUGAUUUAUCCCACAUCUGAAAAAAAUGAUUCUUGCAUACAUUAUGCCUGUAUUGAUACCUUACUGCGGCUAUGUGACCUUGAACAUGAAAAACUGGCAAAAUAUUAUUAUGGUCUGAUUUUGAAAAACAAAAUGCUAAACUAGCUCUGCAAAUUUUCAGUGAUGUCACAGCUAAUGCCCUUCAAACACUGGGUCCAAAACACUCCUUAGAUCACUGUGCGGAAACAGCAAAUUACAUUAGUUUAUCAAAUGGUGGAAAAUAGCUAAUGUGAAAACACCAUUUAAAGGUAACAGGUUAAACAAUGAAUUCAUGAGCCCUUUAAAACAAUGUACAAUAGAUGACCCCCAAGUAUGUGUGUCUUACAGGAAUGUUAGAAUGGCUAAGCAGAUGGGGAAAAAUAAACAUCCGAUAUCCUGAGGGCUCACUAACAAAAGAAACAUGUUCAGCAUUAAUUUAGACAACACAGGCCUUUAUAAUAUUGUGUUAAUGAGUUGCAGUUUUCCUACUUUGUACCUGGAAAAUUUCAAACUGAUUUGCUCGAAGAGAGAUUUGGAAAGUAUAGGCAGUUAUGUGGAGGUCAGUACAAUGUAAGAAGUUUCACUUGCAGUCUAUAAUUAGGCUAAAUUUUAAAUCAGCUGUUUUUGGAGAAAUAAGUAUACAGUCCAUACAGGAGAUUUUCUCAGAUGGCCCAAAUACUGACAUUGAGAUUCCUUCCAUAUAUGAUGAAAAAGUAGUCAAUCCAUCAGAACUUACUGAAAAUUCCAGUGAAGAUUUGCCUGUUCUUACAUGUAUAGCAGGGUAUUGUUGCAGCUGUUUUGAAAAAUUACAAAAUGUGAGUUUUGUAAAGAUAUUCUGGUGUUAGAUAACAUUUUAGAUGAUCAAGAAAUGUAUUCCCUAAUACUGAAUGUAAGUAGACGAAAACUACUCAUUCCUUGCUCUCAAAUUAUCAGUGUGGUUGUCACUACUUACCCGACUUAUGAAAUUGUCAUAAAUUUGAAGCAGAGUUCCUUAAAGCUCCAAACCAAAGAGAACUAGUUUCCUACCUGGCUUGGAAUUCAGUUUUAAUGAAUGAAUUGCUCUGGGAAAGAGAAUGUGAUAGUCAUAGUGCUCAAGAUACUUGCAAAAAAAGUAAUAUGGAUUUCAACCAGUGUAUUUCUUAAUAAUUUCACCAGAAAGAAAAAUCAAAGCAUUGUGAGGGAUGCUGUCCCUAGAAAGAAAAACAUAUUCAACAGAAGUAAGUGAAGGCUGAAUUGAACUUUAAUUGUAAACAGCAUGCUGAAUUUAUGCAGUUUGAAUACAUAUUGUACACACAAGUUGUAAGAAUAUUUUUAUUCAUUACUACCCUGUAUUUCUCUGAACUAUUGUGAUUAAUAAAGCUAUUACUUAAAAAAGAAGACUGAUUAAUUGGUCUGUGCAUGUGAAUCAACCAUUGGUCUGGUUCUUUAAACCUUAGAUUUUCAUAAAUUUUUUGUACAUAGUGUUCAAAUUUGCUCCAGUUAUCAUUAAUUUCCAUUUUGAUGAUUUGAAACAAAUGCAAACAGUGAUUAUCCCACUAGCUCCAGCUAUAAUACAAUUUUUUGGCCUUAAUACAGCAAAUUUUGAGAAUGCAAUUUGAUCUGAAAAGAUUGUAUACUUCUCAUAAGUUUCCUUAAAUUAAUCUGUUUUGAACAUACAUAGUCUUGAUAUCACCAUCUUUUCCCAUAGAAAUGUAAUCAUGUAGGUCAGGCAUUUACCUCCUAGUAUUAUCAUUACAAUGAAAGUUUUUCACUAACAGAAAAGUUUUAGCAGACAAAGAAUGUCCAGUUUUAGUGUCAAAAGUAAAGAGUUGGCCCUUUUCUUCCACUAUUUUUUUUCAUACCCUGCAGUUGCUUACUCCAGACUUUUUCUGUAUAAGUUAGGUAGGAAAGUCAACACUGAAAAUUUUUCACUUUUACUGGUUGUGUUUAAACUUGUCAAUCAUUUCUGUUUGUGUACCAUCACAGCCAAGUAUUUCCUGGUUUUCACCAGUUUCUUCCUGAAAGAAGGUUUC